rnacentral:tRNA from 1 species
GCAGACAUGGCCGAUUGGUUAAGGCGACUGACUCGAAGUCAGUUUCCAUCUUGGAGCGUAGGUUCGAAUCCUACUAUCUGCG